rnacentral:rRNA from 1 species
UACGUAGGGUGCAAGCGUUAAUCGGAAUUACUGGGCGUAAAGCGUGCGCAGGCGGUUCUAUAAGACAGAUGUGAAAUCCCCGGGCUCAACCUGGGAACUGCAUUUGUGACUGUAGAGCUGGAGUGCGGCAGAGGGGGAUGGAGUUCCGCGUGUAGCAGUGAAAUGCGUAGAUAUGCGGAGGAACACCGAUGGCGAAGGCAAUCCCCUGGGCCUGCACUGACGCUCAUGCACGAAAGCGUGGGGAGCAAACAGG